UGAGGAAUAUUGCGCAAUGGGGGCAACCCUGACGCAGCGACGCCGCGUGAGUGAGGAAGGUUUUCGGACCGUAAAGCUCUGUCGAGCGGGAAGAAAUGUAUCGUGGCUAAUAUCCAUGAUAUUUGACGGUACCGCUAAAGGAAGCACCGGCUAACUCCGUGCCAGCAGCCGCGGUAAUACGGGGGGUGCAAGCGUUGUUCGGAAUUAUUUGGCGUAAAGCGCGUGUAGGCGGUUUGUUAAGUCUGAUGUGAAAGCCCCGGGCUCAACCUGGGAAGUGCAUUGGAAACUGGCAGACUUGAAUACGGGAGAGGGUAGUGGAAUUCCUGGUGUAGGAGUGAAAUCCGUAGAUAUCAGGAGGAACACCGGUGGCGAAGGCGACUUCCUGGCCCUAUACUGACGCUGAGACGCGAGAGCGUGGGUAGCAAACA
rnacentral:rRNA from 1 species